rnacentral:rRNA from 1 species
UACGUAGGGUGCAAGCGUUAAUCGGAAUUACUGGGCGUAAAGCGUGCGCAGGCGGCUAUGCAAGACAGAUGUGAAAUCCCCGGGCUUAACCUGGGAAUGGCAUUGGUGACUGCACGGCUAGAGUGUGUCAGAGGGGGGUAGAAUUCCACGUGUAGCAGUGAAAUGCGUAGAGAUGUGGAGGAAUACCGAUGGCGAAGGCAGCCCCCUGGGAUAACACUGACGCUCAUGCACGAAAGCGUGGGGAGCAAACAGG